AACGAACGCUGGCGGCAUGCCUAACACAUGCAAGUCGAACGAGACCUUCGGGUCUAGUGGCGCACGGGUGCGUAACGCGUGGGAACCUGCCCUUAGGUUCGGAUUAACUCCCCGAAAGGGGUGCUAAUACCGGAUAAUGUCUUCGGACCAAAGAUUUAUCGCCUUUGGAUGGGCCCGCGUUGGAUUAGCUAGUUGGUAGGGUAAAAGCCUACCAAGGCGACGAUCCAUAGCUGGUCUGAGAGGAUGAUCAGCCACACUGGGACUGAGACACGGCCCAGACUCCUACGGGAGGCAGCAGUGGGGAAUAUUGGAAAAUGGGCGAAAGCCUGAUCCAGCAAUGCCGCGUGAGUGAUGAAGGCCUUAGGGUUGUAAAGCUCUUUUACCCGGGAUGAUAAUGACAGUACCGGGAGAAUAAGCUCCGGCUAACUCCGUG
rnacentral:rRNA from 1 species